UACGUAGGGGCAAGCGUUGUCCGGAUUCAUUGGGCGUAAAGAGCGUGUAGGCGGCCAGGUAGGUCGGUUGUGAAAACUGGAGGCUCAACCUUCAGAGGUCGACCGAAACCAUCUGGCUAGAGUCCGGGAGAGGAGAGUGGAAUUCCGUGUGUAAGCGGUGAAAUGCGUAGAUAUACGGAGGAACACCUGCGGCGAAGGCGGGUAGCUGGGCCAACACUGACGCUGAUGUGCGAAGCGUGGGAGCAAACAGG
rnacentral:rRNA from 1 species